rnacentral:rRNA from 1 species
GACGAACGCUGGCGGCGUGCUUAACACAUGCAAGUCGAGCGGAAAGGCCACUUCGGUGGUACUCGAGCGGCGAACGGGUGAGUAACACGUGAGUAAUCUGCCCCUCACUUUGGGAUAGCCACCGGAAACGGUGAUUAAUACCGGAUAUGACCAUAUGUCGCAUGGCGUGUGGUGGAAAGUUUUUCGGUGAGGGAUGUGCUCGCGGCCUAUCAGCUUGAUGGUGAGGUAAUGGCUCACCAUGGCUUCGACGGGUAGCCGGCCUGAGAGGGUGACCGGUCACACUGGGACUGAGACACGGCCCAGACUCCUACGGGAGGCAGCAGUGGGGAAGAUUGGACAAUGGGCGGAAGCCUGAUCCAGCAACGCCGCGUGAGGGAUGACGGCCUUCGGGUUGUAAACCUCUUUCAGUACCGACGAAGCGCAAGUGACGGUAGGUACAGAAGAAGCACCGGCCAACUACGUG